rnacentral:lncRNA from 1 species
CCUGAGGCUCUCACUAGAAGCAGAUGCUGGUGCUAUGCCUCUUGUAUGGCCUGAAUAACUGGUCACAGAUAUAAAGAGUUUGCCUUGAGUCUCAGAUGAAACUUUGAAUAUUGGACAUUUGAGUUGAUGCUGGAACAAGUUAAGAGUUUUGAAGACUAUGGGAUAGAAUGACUAUAUUCAACACUGAAAGAACGAAGACAAUGGCUCUUCCAGAGGAAGAAAGAUUAUCCUGUCCUGGCUAUCUUGUCUAUUACCAACAUUCCAGGAUGAAGAAAUAUGGUGAUACACUCAGGCCACUGGAAUGGCCUCCAGUACAGCAGUGAAUACCAGUGGAAUGCAACUUCUUUUGCUUUAGAAGACAAGCUCUUAGCAAUGUCAAGUUUCCAGGUAGCCCUCUGCUUUUGAUCACUAGGUUUUUCUUUUCCAUCUCUGUAUUUCCUUGGUAGAAGGGACAGUAUGAACAAAGCUGGAAUUCAAUCUGUUCACACUUUUGUACUGAAAAUAUGUAAGUAUCCUUCAAUACUAUGUGUUAUAUAAAAAAUUACUAACCAUAAAAUAAUUGUCAGGAAAACCCAACCUUCCUAUUGACAGUUUUACCAAAGCAUCAAAAAUAAAUUUGUUUCCAAUAAAGUGCUUGAUCCUUAUGCAUACAUGCAGGGCAACUACUGAAUCUCCAAUCAGUGACCAUGAAUAAUACUUUUGUUUUUUGGCCUUGAACCUAUUGCAUAUGUUCUAGCCACUUCCUCUUCCUGGGGAAACAUUGAUUUUCUUAUGAAAAACAGCUCUCCAAUCAGGAAAUGGUAUGUGCCUUAUUAAGAAAUACUUUGAUCUGAAUGUUUGUGACCCCUCUAAAUUUAUGGGUUGGAAUCCUAACCCCCAAGGUGAUGUAUUAGAAGAUGGAGAUUUGGGGGACAUGAUUUGGUAAUGAGGAUGUAACCCUCAUGAAUAGAAUUAGUAUCCUUAUAAAUGAGGAACCAGAGAACUACCUUGUCCCUUUCACUAUAUGAGGACACAGCUAGAGGACACCUUCUAUGAAUCCGGAAAUGGAUCCUCAACGAGACACUUCAUCAGCAGAUGCCUUAUCUUGGACUUCCCAGCCUCCAGAAUUAUAACAAAUAAAUUUCUGUUGUUUAUAAGCUA